AUACGUAGGGGGCGAGCGUUGUCCGGAAUGAUUGGGCGUAAAGGGCGCGUAGGCGGCCUGGUAAGUCUGGAGUGAAAGUCCUGCUUUUAAGGUGGGAAUUGCUUUGGAUACUGCUGGGCUUGAGUGCAGGAGAGGAAAGCGGAAUUACCGGUGUAGCGGUGAAAUGCGUAGAGAUCGGUAGGAACACCAGUGGCGAAGGCGGCUUUCUGGACUGAAACUAGACGCUGAGGCGCGAAAGCGUGGGGAGC
rnacentral:rRNA from 1 species